GACGAACGCUGGCGGCGGGCUUAACACAUGCAAGCCGAACGGGUGUAGCAAUACAUCAGUGGCAGACGGGUGAGUAACACGUGGGAACCUUCCUAGGGGUACGGAACAACUCAGGGAAACCUGAGCUAAUACCGUAUACGUCCGUGAGGAGAAAGAUUUAUCGCCCUUAGACGGGCCCGCGUCGGAUUAGCUAGUUGGUGGGGUAACGGCCUACCAAGGCGACGAUCCGUAGCUGAUCUUAGAGGAUGAUCAGCCACACUGGGACUGAGACACGGCCCAGACUCCUACGGGAGGCAGCAGUGGGGAAUCUUGGACAAUGGGCGCAAGCCUGAUCCAGCCAUGCCGCGUGAGUGAAGAAGGUCUUCGGAUUGUAAAGCUCUUUUGCCAGGGACGAUAAUGACGGUACCUGGAGAAUAAGCCCCGGCAAACUUCGUGCCAGCCGCCGCGGUAA
rnacentral:rRNA from 1 species